UACGUAGGGACCAAGCGUUGUCCGGAAUCAUUGGGCGUAAAGCGCGCGUAGGUGGCCAUUUAAGUCCGCUGUGAAAGUCAGAGGCUCAACCUUUGAAAGCCGGUGGAUACUGGAUGGCUAGAGUACGGAAGAGGCGAGUGGAAUUCCUGGUGUAGCGGUGAAAUGCGCAGAUAUCAGGAGGAACACCGAUGGCGAAGGCGGGUCUCUGGGCCGUAACUGACGCUGAGGAGCGAAAGCGUGGGGAGCGAACAGG
rnacentral:rRNA from 1 species